GCUCUGCUGGACAGUUACUGCCCACCUGGAGGGCUUGAGGUGAGCAACAAGGAAUACCGAGAGGAGGUUUCCACACCAUGAACAAACAUGGCACCAGGAUCUGGAAGCUCCGGGCUUCUCCGUCUUCUAGAAUUCUGGGAGCCUCACAUGGCCCCCUCCUUGGCGAGUGUAUUAGGCUGUACUUGUAUUUCUGAAAUACAAAUAAAUACCUGAGACUGGGCAAUUUAUAAAGAAAAGAGGGUUAACUGGCUCACAGUUCUGCAGGCUGUACAGGAAGCAUGAUGCUGGCAUCUGCUUGGCUUCUGGAGAGCUCUCAGGAAGCUUCCAAUUGUGGAGGAAGGUGAAGCGGAAGCAGGCAUCUCACAUGGCCAGAACAGGAGCAAGAGCGUGACGAGGGAGGGGCUACACACUUUUAAAUGACCAGAUCUUGCAAGAACUCACUCACUAUGGUGAGGAUCGUACUAAGGGGGGUGCUGCUGAAAUGUUCAUGAGAAAUCUGCUGGCAUGAUCCAGUGCCCUCCCCCCAGGCCCCACCUCCAACAAUGGGGAUUCCAUUUCAACCAGAGAUUUGGGCAGGGACACACAUCCGAACCAUGUUAGGGAGCGACCCACACAGAGAGGACAGGGAAAGCUGGCUGCUGGGCCUAUUCAGGAGUAUAUCUGUCACAUGGGGGGGUCUGCAGUCUGGAACCCUCUAGAAGAGUCACAGCAUUUUCUCUCACACACACAUAGAAACCCAAAGAGGCCAGCUGAGUCUGGUGUGGAUUAUCUAUGAUUUAAUUUUAAUUAUUGUUGUAAAAUUAAACUUCCAGAGAUGUGUAAAGUGUAUUCUCAGCAAGUUUCCACACUGCCUGGGAGUGCUGUUGACACUUUUGUUUGACUGGAUGCGCCUUCCCUCCCUGUCCUCACCCCGAGGUGCAGGCUCAUGCAGACUCUAUUCAGACUACAAGUUUUAGGAAUGUAGGAUUAACCUUCCCAUUCUGUGGACAAGGACAUUCAGGCCUCGGGAGCUUUAAGGGAGUGGUCAGAGGCCUCCCAGCUGGUAAGUGAGCUUUUCAUUUUUAAAUCCAACACUCUUCAGCAACAGAGCACAUAGAAACUUCAUUCAGGGUGGACUAGGACUGCAGGGCUGCUGGGGGACACAGCAUGGCUGGAGCGAUGCGGGAUCGGGGGUGGGCACAGCGAUGCGGGAGAGGCAGAGG
rnacentral:lncRNA from 10 species